AGAGCUAGAGCUGCAUUAAGAUCCUCCUGCCUCCUGCUGGUCUCUCUGGGCCACGUGCUUUCUCUUCCUUGGCAUGCCUUCUAGCUGGGUUAGGCAGGGAAGACUAACACAUGCUGCUUUGAUGCCUUCUCCAAAGGGCUAAUAUCCAGAAUCUACAAUGAACUCAAACAAACAACACCAUCAAAAAGUGGACGAAGGAUAUGAACAUUCUUAA
rnacentral:lncRNA from 10 species